GCCUUUGUGGUGUAGUGGUCAGCACGCUCGACGCGUAUUCGAGAGGUCAGUGGUUCGAAUCCCAGGGAGGGCA
rnacentral:tRNA from 1 species